rnacentral:lncRNA from 1 species
UAGCUUCGGACUAGCAGGCCUAUAUUUUCCAAAAGUGGAAAUUCUAGAGCUAGAGGAUUGUGACAGCUUAAAGAAUUUAAGAUCAUCAGCAAUAUCUUUCAACAAUCUAACAACAUUGCAAGUAAGUCGUUGUAAGGGAUUGAACUACCUGAUAUCUUUAUCCAUGGCCACAUGUUUGAUGCAACUCACAAAACUAGAAGUUGGUGAUUGUGAGGAAAUGAUAGAAAUAGUUGCAAGCAGUGGAAAUGAUGAUUUAGCAAAUGAGAUUGAAUUCAGGGUGUUGAAACAUUUGGAGCUGUCUAAUCUACCAAGUCUGAGAGGCUUUUGCUCGGGAACUCACAUUGUCAAAUUCCCCUGCUUGGAAAACUUAUCGAUGACUAGUUGUACUCAACUGGAGGGAUUCAUCUUUGAUUCUACGGAUAAAAGUACACUCGGCAACGAUAUCGAAGACGCCAACUCAAAUGAAAACACUGACACUGGAGUAGUGCAACGAUUCCUUUUGAACAACAAGGUGAAAUAACUAAUCGUAAAUCUGUUUAUAGUUUCUCUAACAGUUGUAUAAGAUAACUAAUAUAUAUUUUUGUACAGGUUGAACUACCGAGGUUGAUGAGCUUGUCACUCAAGGGUCUAACAAAGUUGACCGCAAUAUGGCACAAUCAACUAUCUGAUAACUCUUUUGACGGUGAAAAUCUAAACUCGGUAGAAAUUGAUUCUUGUGAGAGCUUGAAAUAUAUAUUUCCAGCGACCGUGGCCAAAAGACUUGAGAGGUUAAGCAAGUUGAUAGUGAACAAGUGUGGAGUGGAGGAAAUCGUUGCAAUCGAAGGGGAACCACAAACAAUGCGGAAGUUUAUUUUCCCAAAAGUCACCUGUGUGAAAUUUACAGAACUCCCCAAUCUUACAAGUUUCUAUCCAGCCAUGCAUGCUUCCAGUUGGCCAGCACUUCAAAAGUUGGAGGUUCUUGGAUGUUACAAACUAGAGAUUUUAGCUGAGACACUUGCAAGCUUCCAAGGGAAAUACGAGUCAAACCUGUCUGCUCCAAUUAAACAAACUCUCUUUACAAUUGAGAAGGUACGGAUGCUUCUACACUUUCCCUUUCUCUUUGCAACAAUUAAUGGUUCCUAAACUAUGCAGAGGAUAUAAUUGACCUCCCAAUCUCUGACUCUAUUUCGGGUAUUAAUUUUUAUCAAUUUUAGGAUUCUUUCCCCAGCUUGGAAUACUUGAAACUAUCCAGCAUGGAGAUAUGGAAUGGUCCACUACCAGUCCACAUCUUUAAAAAACUAAAGUCCCUUGUGGUUUGGUGUCCACAGUCCAAGUCAGUUGUUGUCCUUGACAAAUUACUCGAUGAAGGAAACUCCAGUACUAGUACUAGGGAAAGAGAUGAUGCAGUUGAGUUCCGGACCCUUCCAAAUUUAAGAGGGUUGGAUGACUUGAUUAAAUCUUCGUUUAAUGCCCCACCUGAUGCAUCUUGGCGAGGAUAAUUCACAAUCAGCCACCCGCAUCCCAAAUUUUCCAAACCUGGAAUUUCUAGACGUGAUGGGUUGUCCCAGCUUAAGGAAUCUGAGAAUAGGGCCAGUCCUGGAGGAUUGAAGGCCCAGCGCGGAAAAAAAUGUUGUGCCCCUUAUAUCAAUUUUUUUUCAAAAAUACUUUUUUAUUUUUGGAUUUCAAACCUCUGAAUAUACUCUUAAUAUUGUUAUUAAAAAUACAUUUUAUAUAAACUUUUUUGGCCCUUAUGAAUAAUAUUUUUUCUUGAUUAUUUGGAUUAGUAUAGAUAUAAAUUGUAUUGUUCAUAUGAUUUUCUCACUUGAACAUUUGCUCAACUACCAUUAGAUUAUAGAAGUAUGCAAUGAAAUAUGCGAUAUGUUAAUCUUGCAGGAGAGUGACAUGCUCUUUCAACCUGCCAAAAGAUUCCUGCCUGCAAUCCAAGAGGUAAACAAAAUUUUAGAGUGAUUAGCCAAGUACAUAUGCCUUAACCUCACAUAUAAGGAACUAUCGUUUCCUUGCAAUUGCAGCAGUCUUCACUCAACAGAUAAACUUAAUGCUAGUGUUUGUGACAUGAUAGAUACGCAUACUGUUGGAGGAAAUAGCAAGAAAGAUUGAAGGUGCAAGAGUAGAGGACAAUAGAUUCUGCAUCAGUGUACAUUACCGGAAUGUCCGGGAAGAGGUAGAAAUAUAUAGUCUAAUGUCUCAUCUCAUUGUUAUCUUUAUAUUCAGUUAUACAUGAAAAUUUCUAAAAGUUAUGUCCCCCUGCAGGAUUAUGACAUAUUAGAAGAAAAGGUGAAGGCUGUGAUUGAAACUUAUCCUGAGUUUCACCUGACUCGGGGUAAAAAGGUAGGAUAAAUAAUCCACAAGUUAUGUUAGCCUUUUAAGGAAGACAUAGUAGAUUGUUAGAUUUAUUAUAUGUGAUCCUUUUAGGUCCUGGAGGUACGACCAUCUAUAGAAUGGAACAAAGGGCAUGCGCUUGAAUAUCUACUUGACACCCUUGGAUUCAGUAACUCAGGUGACGUCCUCCCAUUGUACAUAGGGGAUGAUCGAACAGAUGAAGAUGCUUUCAAGGUGAUAGAAGCCAGAGGACAGGGAUUUCCAAUAAUCGUGUCCUCCACCCCAAAGGAAACCAAAGCUGCUUAUUCUCUGCACGAUCCAUCGGAAGUGUUGACAUUCUUANNNNNNNNNNNNNNNNNNNNAUCUAUAAGCGCUAAAUUAAAUUCUCCAUUCAAAUAUGAAGUUUGUUGCUCUACUUAAAGUAUUUAUUGAUCAUAACUGAUCAGAAGUUAUGGAAUUGAUUUUUCAGGAGUCAUUCCCCAACCUGGAAUCUUUAGGCUUGGGCAUAAUGGAGAACUGGGAUAGUCCGCCACUCCAUUUGUUUAGGAAGCUCAAAUCUCUUUAUACUUAUGCACACACCAACUCAUCUUUGAAUUCCCUUGAGCAAUUACUUGGUCUUGAAAAAGUCAAUGGAGAAAUACAUGCAGCUGGGGAUGCGACCUUCCCGUUUUUAAGAGAGUUGCACCUUCACGGGAUGCGGAAGCUGAUGAAUCUUGGGGAUGACAGCUUAGGACUAGCAGGCCUAUAUUUUCCAAAACUGGAAAGUCUAAAGCUAGAGGAUUGUGACAGCUUAAAGAAUUUAAGAUCAUCAGCAAUAUCUUUCAACAAUCUAACAACCCUGCAAGUAAGUCGUUGUAAGGGAUUGAACUACCUGAUAUCUUUAUCCAUGGCCACAUGUUUGAUGCAACUCACAAAACUAGAAGUUGGUGAUUGUGAGGAAAUGAUAGAAAUAGUUGCAAGCAGUGGAAAUGAUGAUUUAGCAAAUGAGAUUGAAUUCAGGGUGUUGAAACAUUUGGAAC